AAGAAACCAUAUUACGUAAAAGUAAUUAUCACUUUUUGAACGGUUAUGAGUGCAGCCCACUGACACACACACACACAAACGCCCCCCCAAGUCUUCUUCUUUUCUCACACCAGCAGCGCAGCGCCGACUGCGACGGUUGGUGGUGAUGAUUUGACAGUUUUGAUUGGUGGUGCCUGCCAAACCAAUGCAAAGAAUACGAGGAAGAAGGGGCACAGGGGGAGGGACGCAUAUGUCAACUGCAUAAUAAAAUAACGAAUUGCAUUAGCAACAUGCAUUGACACAUGCAACGGUGCGCUGCAAGCCAUACAAGAUGAGAUGCCGGGGCUCUGACUGACCGACCGAAGAAGGUGUGUUUGUGUGAGUGUGUGCGGUUAUGGACAUGUCCGGCCGGAUUAGUGCACUGGAUGGAUUAACGAUGUUAGUGUGGUUAAGUCGAGGUGCGAGCCAGUGAGAUAGGGAGCAUCACUUCGGAUUGAGGUUAUCUUCAACUUUGUGGAGGCCUUCCAUAUGACCAAAGAAGCUUCUUCUGGAUCACCUAUACAAGUCUCCAUACAAUUUUGGUAGCUGUCUAUACAAAAAUGGUACGUAAAUAUUCAAAAAUCUGUAACUUUUUAGUCAAUUUACUGAUCAAUUUGGUGUCUUCGGCAAAGUUGUAGGUAUUGUUGAGGACUUUAGAGAAAAAAUAGGUACAUGGGCAAAUGCCGUUUUUUCAAAUGUAAUUUUUUUCACAAAUUACAUAUUUUUAUGAUUUUUGAGAUUUUUUGAUGUGUUUUAGGGAACAAAAACCAGCAACUUUUGAGCCAUAGAGAAGUAUGGAUAAAAAAUCUGCCGCCAAGUUAUAAUUUUUUGAAAAAACAAUGAUCUUUGAAAAAAAAAUCGAAAUUUCAUGCAAAAAAAAAUUGUCCUAUUUUUUAUGUAAAAUUGAAUUUGCAAGCAAAAAGUACUCUGCACAUUUUUUUUAUAAAGAGCUCCCUUUUCAAUAUAAAGUCAGUGACCCUGACCUUUAAGACAUAUGCUUGCAACGUCGUGUAAUUAGUAGGCCUUGCUUCUGAAUUCUGAGAAAUUUUGAAAAUUGGCACUUUUUUUCUCACUAAAACUCAAAUAUCUUGGCACUGGAGCGUCGAAAUUGAAUUUUCUCAGAAGGGAAAAUGUUCGCCAUGAAAUUUCCUACAAGCUGCAUGCAUUGGUUGUGCUGGGAAAAAUGGGCUACCCUAAAUUAAAUGAGCAUUUCUGAAAAAAAAUCGAAAAAAUGCGAUUUUUCGACAUAAAUCCGCCUGGGAGAGUUCAAAAACUUAAAUCUUAAUCUAUGGACAAAAAACUAUCGUUUGAAGAUAAUACACACCUGAUCGAGUCAGUUUUUGUAUUAAUUUCAAGCGAUUUUAGAAAAUUUGUUCAAAAAAGUGAUUUUUUCAGUAAGUCGAAUAGGGGGUGCGAGAAAGUAUUUUUUUAUUUUUUCUUGUCUAAGAAAACUUUGUUCCUAACAUCAUAAUCUAUCAUUUAAGAAAAGAACACCUAAAAUUCCUCGACAUGACCUCAAAAUGGGACAGGCUAAUAGUCACCGAAAGUUUGAUUUUAGCAAAAUAUUUCUAUACCAUUCUAAAAAAAUAUUUUUGGAAAAGUUCAGAAAAUUUGAUAUUAAAUUGUCUAAGAAAUAUUAAAGAAAAAGGAAAAUUUUGAUUCAAGACUAACAUUUUAAAAGGGCCAAACAUUUAAUAUUACGCUCUUUUGAAAUGUUGGUCUUGAUUUAAAAAAAAAAUCAAAAAAUAAUAAUUAAAAUUGGAAAUUCCUUUGUUCUUUGAUAUGUUUUUCGUUUCAAACCAACCAAAUUUUUUGGUCCAGUCUGAAUAAGAAUUAAAAAAAAAUCUGCAUUAAAUUUUAAGUUAUUUUAAAAUUCGCUAUUUUGCAUGCACAUAUUUUUCAAAUGAUCGUUUGACCCAUUUGAGUAAAAUUGGGACAAUAGUCUGCAUAUUCUAUAGCAUUCAAUUUGACAUCUCUGUACUUAUUUUGUUGUUAUAUUCCUGUCUCAACCGAAAUCAAUCAAAAAUAUCAAAAAGUUGCUACAGCAGCUAGCUAGCUAGCUGAAUUUCCUGAUUCGCCUCAGAUGCCAGUACCUUAAAAAAAUAAGGAAUUUUGUUUUGAAUUAAAAAAUUUAAAAAAUGAAAUACUCAAUCUACAAAAUAUAUAAAAUUACAGUAAGUAAGUUUUUCUUGAUAGCCCAAUGAAUGCUGAUAAAAUAUAUUAUACUCAAUAAAAAUUAAAAAAUAAAUUAAUUUAAAUAAUUUUAAUUUAUUGAAAAAUCAAUCUUCCUGAAAGAAAAUUGAAAGUAACUCCUUUAUUUUGGUGGUCACAAAAACUCACUCUUAAUAAGAAUGGUCACCAAAAAUAAAACUAUGUCUAUGAUCCGUUAAUCACCCAUCGAUUGAGUUCAAAGUCACCGUCUCAAUAACGUCUCCUCCGUUUCCAUCACCUCUCAGACAAGGCCAACGUUGUUCGCUUGUUUGCGGUCAAAAUUAGCUAAUAUUCGCCAAAAAAUCCGCGUCUUUCGCCACCUUAACAUGCUAAACCUGUUGACUUGUGGCGCCGCCACUCGGUGGUCAUUCACCGGUGUUCCGAGGCCAUCCGGACGCUAACUGCCCUGAACUCUUGAGCGGUAUUACAAGGCACGAGGACUGGCAAGUGCAGUCACACACAUCUGAAUCGACAUCAUUAUCCUUUACGACCAAGCUGGGGAGAAAAACUUGGCCACUUGAAGUUUUCUUUUAAAGUUGACUUGUUACAGGUUCGACGGUGAAGAGGUUACUGCGGGGCAAGAUCCGGUGAACAUCCACAAUUGCCAAGUGAAUGACCACAAGCGAGCAUAAUCGCCACUCGGCAGAGAAAAAGGGGGAGGUAAAGCGUAAAAAUCCCAAGCAAAACUAGACCAAUGCGGGCAGCACAACAAAAAAAAACUCCACUUUUUCUUCGUUGACCAGCUCUGAAAGGGAAAUGAGCGUAAACACGUUUAAGAGCAGAGUAGCAAAAAAAAAUGUCCUCACCCUACCCCACCUCCGUCCAAGCCCUUCCACAGUCACAGUCUCGUGGAUUCUUCAUCCGGUGGUGCGCUUAUGAUUUGCGCUAUUUUUAUAUUUCCGGCUUGGCCAAGACCGCGCAUCAUGGCCAAGGGUCGUAAAAAAUGCCGGCACGAGGGGGAUGAUGGCAACGCAAGACGAACAUGUGACAAGUGGCUCGCGUGCCGGUGUGAGGGGGGUCGUAGGGGUUGUUAUUGCCGGCCACCGGAACCGGUUGUGAGGUUUUAGUAGAA